AAAAGUUCUAUUAAUAGGAAAACAGUGUUUUACACUUGGAUACAAGUUAAUACUACAAGGCAAGUUACAUUCCAAUAAUGUACAUGAAAAAAUUGGAAAGAAAAUAAGUGGUUAACUCUUGAUCAACAGGUUCAACACAGUUGACCAAACCUUUAACCACUAUUCUGAACCCUUGACUAGGUUCUUCCACUGUCUUCCACUUCAAGAUCAAUGUUUCUUCAAUUUUCUUCAAGUCACUUCAUGGUCAAGCAAGCAAGCCAUCAACAUCAC
rnacentral:lncRNA from 1 species